rnacentral:lncRNA from 1 species
GGAGCUGUCGAACUCGUUAAAAAUGCUAUAGCUACUAUGCAUCGACUUCGUCAAUAUUGACGUGGAUGAGCUCUUAAAUGUAGCACAAGGAGAUUAAAAAGAUAGAAAGAAGGUUGCCAUAAAGGAAUUUUUCCAACGAGAUCCUUGAUGGACUUUACAGUUAAUUUAUUUAGGAGGAGUGGUGAGAAAAGGUCUUGUCUUUACGAAGAAGGGAGGGGGGAAAGAGAAUUGGGGGUUUUUAUUUGUUAUUCGUAGAAAAGGAAAAAA